UACGGGGGGAGCAAGCGUUGUUCGGAUUUACUGGGCGUAAAGGGCGCGUAGGCGGUCGUGACAAGUCACUUGUGAAAUCUCCGGGCUUAACUCGGAACGGUCAAGUGAUACUGCGGGGCUAGAGUGCAGAAGGGGCAACUGGAAUUCUCGGUGUAGCGGUGAAAUGCGUAGAUAUCGAGAGGAACACCUGCGGCGAAGGCGGGUUGCUGGGCUGACACGUGACGCUGGAUUGUGCGAAAGCUAGGGAGAGCGAACGGG
rnacentral:rRNA from 1 species